rnacentral:misc_RNA from 1 species
GAUGAAGAACGUAGCGAAAUGCGAUAAGUAAUGUGAAUUGCAGAAUUCAGUGAAUCAUCGAAUCUUUGAACGCACAUUGCGCCCGCCAGUAUUCUGGCGGGCAUGCCUGUUCGAGCGUCAUUACAACCCUCAGGCCCCCGGGCCUGGCGUUGGGGAUCGGCGGAGCCCCCCGUGGGCACACGCCGUCCCCCAAAUACAGUGGUGGUCCCGCCGCAGCUUCCAUCGCGUAGUAGCUAACACCUCGCGACUGGAGAGCGGCGCGGCCACGCCGUAAAACACCCAACUCUUCUGAAGUUGACCUCGAAUCAGGUAGGAAUACCCGCUGAACUUAAGCAUAUCGAUAAGCGGAGGA